GACGAACCGAGCGAACGUUUAUUCGGAAUAACUGGGCUUAAAGGGAGCGUAGGUGGCCUUAUAAGUCAGUGGUGAAAUCUCUGGGCUUAACCCAGAAAUUGCCAUUGAUACUGUAGGGCUUGAGUAUAGUUGCCGUUGGCGGAAUAUGACAUGUAGUGGUGAAAUACAUAGAGAUGUCAUAGAACACCGAUUGCGAAGGCAGCUGACGAAACUAUAACUGACACUGAGGCUCGAAAGUGCGGGGGAUCAAACAGG
rnacentral:rRNA from 1 species